GUGAGGAAUAUUGCGCAAUGGAGGCAACUCUGACGCAGCCAUGCCGCGUGCAGGAAGAAGGCGCUACGCGUUGUAAACUGCUUUUAACCGGGAAGAAACCCCAGGACGUGUCCUGGGUUGACGGUACCGGAGGAAUAAGCACCGGCUAACUUCGUGCCAGCAGCCGCGGUAAUACGAAGGGUGCAAGCGUUAUCCGGAUUCAUUGGGUUUAAAGGGUGCGUAGGCGGAGCGUUAAGUCAGUGGUGAAAUGCUGCAGCUUAACUGUAGACUUGCCAUUGAUCCUGUCGCUCUUGAGUGCGCUUGAAGUGGGCGGAAUGUGCCGUGUAGCAGUGAAAAGCUUAGAUAUAGCACAGAACACCAAUUGCAAAGGCAGCUAACUAAGGCGAUACAGACGCUGAGGCACGAAAGCGUGGGGAUCGAACAGGAUUAGAAACCCGUGUAGUCC
rnacentral:rRNA from 1 species